UGGCCAAAUAGUGGAAAAGCAGCUAGAGCCUGUCCGAGAGUAUACAGACCAGGAGCUUGCUCCUCUGACGUUAGCGGCGGACGGGUGAGUAACACGUGGAUAACCUACCUAUAAGACUGGGAUAACUUCGGGAAACCGGAGCUAAUACCGGAUAACAUGUUGAACCGCAUGGUUCAACAGUGAAAGACGGUCUUGCUGUCACUUAUAGAUGGAUCCGCGCCGCAUUAGCUAGUUGGUAAGGUAACGGCUUACCAAGGCAACGAUGCGUAGCCGACCUGAGAGGGUGAUCGGCCACACUGGAACUGAGACACGGUCCAGACUCCUACGGGAGGCAGCAGUAGGGAAUCUUCCGCAAUGGGCGAAAGCCUGACGGAGCAACGCCGCGUGAGUGAAGAAGGUCUUCGGAUCGUAAAACUCUGUUAUUAGGGAAGAACAAAUGUGUAAGUAACUAUGCACGUCUUGACGGUACCUAAUCAGAAAGCCACGGCUAACUACGUGCCAGCAGCCGCGGUAAUACGUAGGUGGCAAGCGUUAUCCGGAAUUAUUGGGCGUAAAGCGCGCGUAGGCGGUUUUUUAAGUCUGAUGUGAAAGCCCACGGCUCAACCGUGGAGGGUCAUUGGAAACUGGAAAACUUGAGUGCAGAAAAGGAAAGUGGAAUUCCAUGUGUAGCGGUGAAUGCGCAAAGAUAUGAAAGGAACAC
rnacentral:rRNA from 1 species